rnacentral:rRNA from 1 species
UACGAAGGGGGCUAGCGUUGUUCGGAAUUACUGGGCGUAAAGGGCGCGUAGGCUGUGCUGUAAGUCAGGCGUGAAAUCCCUCGGCUCAACCGGGGAACUGCGUCUGAUACUGGGUGGCUUGAAUUCGGGAGAGGGAUGCGGAAUUCCAGGUGUAGCGGUGAAAUGCGUAGAUAUCGUAAGGAAGACCAGUGGCGAAGGCGGGCUCGUCUGGGCCACUACGUGACGCUGAGAAGCGAAAGCA